AGAAGGCUGGCCUUCAGAUGCCUGGUAGCUGGCUUGCUUGACCCAAGCAUGGACAAGUGAGAACAGAUGAAAGAGGCCAGCAGACCCAGGACCCAGCCCUUUCUGUGCCACCAGCCAGCACUCACUCUGCUGUGUGACCUGAGACCAGGCAGACCAUCUCUCUGGGUCUCAGUUUCCCCCUCUAUAACACCAGGGGCUGGUCUUCAUGAUCCCAGGGCCCUCCCCAGCUGUGCCCUUCUGCAACUGUGAGACUCUGAGAGCAGAGGAGGGAAG
rnacentral:lncRNA from 1 species